rnacentral:rRNA from 1 species
UACGGAGGAUCCAAGCGUUAUCCGGAUUUAUUGGGUUUAAAGGGUGCGUAGGCGGAUUAGUAAGUCAGUGGUGAAAGCCUGCAGCUUAACUGUAGAACUGCCAUUGAUACUGCUAGUCUUGAAUAUAGUUGAGGUAGGCGGAAUAUGACAUGUAGCGGUGAAAUGCUUAGAUAUGUCAUAGAACACCGAUUGCGAAGGCAGCUUGCUAAACUAUUAUUGACGCUGAGGCACGAAAGCGUGGGUAGCAAACAGG